GACGAACGCUGGCGGCGUGCUUAACACAUGCAAGUCGAACGGAAAGGCCCUGCUUUUGUGGGGUGCUCGAGUGGCGAACGGGUGAGUAACACGUGAGUAACCUGCCCUUGACUUUGGGAUAACUUCAGGAAACUGGGGCUAAUACCGGAUAGGAGCUCCUGCUGCAUGGUGGGGGUUGGAAAGUUUCGGCGGUUGGGGAUGGACUCGCGGCUUAUCAGCUUGUUGGUGGGGUAGUGGCUUACCAAGGCUUUGACGGGUAGCCGGCCUGAGAGGGUGACCGGCCACAUUGGGACUGAGAUACGGCCCAGACUCCUACGGGAGGCAGCAGUGGGGAAUAUUGCACAAUGGGCGGAAGCCUGAUGCAGCAACGCCGCGUGCGGGAUGACGGCCUUCGGGUUGUAAACCGCUUUCGCCUGUGACGAAGCGUGAGUGACGGUAAUGGGUAAAGAAGCACCGGCUAACUACGUGCCAGCAGCCGCGGUGAUACGUAGGGUGCGAGCGUUGUCCGGAUUUAUUGGGCGUAAAGGGCUCGUAGGUGGUUGAUCGCGUCGGAAGUGUAAUCUUGGGGCUUAACCCUGAGCGUGCUUUCGAUACGGGUUGACUUGAGGAAGGUAGGGGAGAAUGGAAUUCCUGGUGGAGCGGUGGAAUGCGCAGAUAUCAGGAGGAACACCAGUGGCGAAGGCGGUUCUCUGGGCCUUUCCUGACGCUGAGGAGCGAAAGCGUGGGGAGCGAACAGGCUUAGAUACCCUGGUAGUCCACGCUGUAAACGGUGGGUACUAGGUGUGGGGUCCAUUCCACGGGUUCCGUGCCGUAGCUAACGCUUUAAGUACCCCGCCUGGGGAGUACGGCCGCAAGGCUAAAACUCAAAGGAAUUGACGGGGCCCCGCACAAGCGGCGGAGCAUGCGGAUUAAUUCGAUGCAACGCGUAGAACCUUACCUGGGUUUGACAUGGAUCGGGAGCGCUCAGAGAUGGGUGUGCCUCUUUUGGGGUCGGUUCACAGGUGGUGCAUGGCUGUCGUCAGCUCGUGUCGUGAGAUGUUGGGUUAAGUCCCGCAACGAGCGCAACCCUUGUUCACUGUUGCCAGCACGUUAUGGUGGGGACUCAGUGGAGACCGCCUGGGUCAACUCGGAGGAAGGUGGGGAUGACGUCAAGUCAUCAUGCCCCUUAUGUCCAGGGCUUCACGCAUGCUACAAUGGCUGGUACAGAGAGUGGCGAGCCUGUGAGGGUGAGCGAAUCUCGGAAAGCCGGUCUCAGUUCGGAUUGGGGUCUGCAACUCGACCUCAUGAAGUCGGAGUCGCUAGUAAUCGCAGAUCAGCAACGCUGCGGUGAAUACGUUCCCGGGGCU
rnacentral:rRNA from 1 species